AUUGAACGCUGGCGGCAGGCCUAACACAUGCAAGUCGAGCGGAGCGGCGGACGGGUGAGUAAUACCUAGGAAUCUGCCUGGUAGUGGGGGAUAACGUUAGGAAACAGACGCUAAUACAGCAUACUAGCAGAUGAACCUAGGUCGGCUUAGCUAGUUGGUGAGGUAAUGGCUCACCAAGGCUACGAUCCGUACGUGGUCUGAGAGGAUGAUCCGUCACACUGGGACUGAGACACGGUCCAGACUCCUACGGGAGGCAGCAGUGGGGAAUAUUGGACAAUGGGCGAAAGCCUGAUCCAGCCAUGCCGCGUGUGUGAAGAAGGUAUUCGGAUUGUAAAGCACUUUAAGUUGUGAGGCGGUACCGACCGAGUAAGCACCGGCUAACGCUGUGCCAGCAGCCGCGGUAAUAC
rnacentral:rRNA from 1 species